UCUGCCCUGCACUUCGGGAUAAGCCUGGGAAACUGGGUCUAAUACCGGAUAGGACCUUUAGGCGCAUGUCUUUAGGUGGAAAGCUUUUGCGGUGUGGGAUGGGCCCGCGGCCUAUCAGCUUGUUGGUGGGGUGAUGGCCUACCAAGGCGACGACGGGUAGCCGGCCUGAGAGGGUGUCCGGCCACACUGGGACUGAGAUACGGCCCAGACUCCUACGGGAGGCAGCAGUGGGGAAUAUUGCACAAUGGGCGCAAGCCUGAUGCAGCGACGCCGCGUGGGGGAUGACGGCCUUCGGGUUGUAAACCUCUUUCACCAUCGACGAAGGUCCGGGUUUUCUCGGAUUGACGGUAGGUGGAGAAGAAGCACCGGCCAACUACGUGCCAGCAGCCGCGGUAAUACGUAGGGUGCGAGCGUUGUCCGGAAUUACUGGGCGUAAAGAGCUCGUAGGUGGUUUGUCGCGUUGUUCGUGAAAUCUCACGGCUUAACUGUGAGCGUGCGGGCGAUACGGGCAGACUAGAGUACUGCAGGGGAGACUGGAAUUCCUGGUGUAGCGGUGGAAUGCGCAGAUAUCAGGAGGAACACCGGUGGCGAAGGCGGGUCUCUGGGCAGUAACUGACGCUGAGGAGCGAAAGCGUGGGGAGCGAACAGGAUUAGAUACCCUGGUAGUCCACGCCGUAAACGGUGGGUACUAGGUGUGGGUUUCCUUCCUUGGGAUCCGUGCCGUAGCUAACGCAUUAAGUACCCCGCCUGGGGAGUACGGCCGCAAGGCUAAAACUCAAAGGAAUUGACGGGGGCCCGCACAAGCGGCGGAGCAUGUGGAUUAAUUCGAUGCACGCGAAAGAACCUUACCUGGGUUUGACAUGCACAGGACGCGUCUAGAGAUAGGCGUUCCCUUGUGGCCUGUGUGCAGGUGGUGCAUGGCUGUCGUCAGCUCGUGUCGUGAGAUGUUGGGUUAAGUCCCGCAACGAGCGCAACCCUUGUCUCAUGUUGCCAGCGGGUAAUGCCGGGGACUCGUGAGAGACUGCCGGGGUCAACUCGGAGGAAGGUGGGGAUGACGUCAAGUCAUCAUGCCCCUUAUGUCCAGGGCUUCACACAUGCUACAAUGGCCGGUACAAAGGGCUGCGAUGCCGCAAGGUUAAGCGAAUCCUUUUAAAGCCGGUCUCAGUUCGGAUUGGGGUCUGCAACUCGACCCCAUGAAGUCGGAGUCGCUAGUAAUCGCAGAUCAGCAACGCUGCGGUGAAUACGUUCCCGGGCCUUGUACACACCGCCCGUCACGUCAUGAAAGUCGGUAACACCCGAAGCCAGUGGCCUAACCCUUGGG
rnacentral:rRNA from 1 species